GAUGAACGCUGGCGGCGUGCCUAAUACAUGCAAGUCGAGCGCACGGACGAGAAGCUUGCUUCUCUGAUGUUAGCGGCGGACGGGUGAGUAACACGUGGAUAACCUACCUAUAAGACUGGGAUAACUUCGGGAAACCGGAGCUAAUACCGGAUAAUAUUUUGAACCGCAUGGUUCAAAAGUGAAAGACGGUCUUGCUGUCACUUAUAGAUGGAUCCGCGCUGCAUUAGCUAGUUGGUAAGGUAACGGCUUACCAAGGCAACGAUGCAUAGCCGACCUGAGAGGGGGGUCGGCCACACUGGAACUGAGACACGGUCCAGGCUCCUAAGGGAGGCAGCAGUAGGGAAUCGUCCGCAAUGGGCGAAAGCCUGACGGAGCAACGCCGCGUGAGUGAUGAAGGUCUUCGGAUCGUAAAACUCUGUUAUUAGGGAAGAACAUAUGUGUAAGUAACUGUGCACGUCGUGACGGUACCUAAUCAGAAAGCCACGGCUAACUACGUG
rnacentral:rRNA from 1 species